GACGAACGCUGGCGGCGUGCCUAAUACAUGCAAGUAGAACGCUGAAGCAGGAGCUUUCUCUUCUGGAUGAUUUGCGAACGGGUGAGUAACACGUAUGGAACCUGCCUGUAAGCGAGGGAGAACAAUUGGAAACGAUAGCUAAUACCGCAUAAGAUUUGAUGUUGCAUGAGAUUUACUUGAAAGAUACAAUUGUAUCGCUACCAGAUGGACCUUCGGUGUAUUAUCUAGUUGGUGGUGUAACGGCUUAACAAGGCGACGAUACAUAGCCGACCCGAGAGGGGGGUCGGGCACAACGGGAAUGGGAAACGGGUCCAGACUCUAAGGGGGGGAGCAGGAAGGAAACUUUGGCAAUGGGCGGAAGUCUGAACGGGGAAAGGCGGGUGGGUGAAGGAGGGUUUCGGAUUGUAAAGACCUGUUGUAAGGGAAGAAAGAGUGUGAGAGUGGACAAUUCACACUGUGACGGUACCUUACCAGAAAGGGACGGCUAACUACGUG
rnacentral:rRNA from 1 species